CAGCUGCGCGUGCUGCCAGGCGGCGCCGCCGCGGCCGCCGCGCAGCCGGGCUGUGAUCACCGCGCGCACGAAGCGCCCGCACACUUCGGUCCACGACUCUGGCCGUGACGGAAACGUAUAUACAGGUUAGGUAAGCGGAGCCUGUGGAAAACGGGAUAAUGGUUACCAGAGAAGUCGACGGGCGCGGGUUGGUCUUGGUCCAGCUGCAGCGUCCAGCUCACGUGGGCGUCGUGCCAGCAGGCGGCGGCGGCCCGCACGGCCAGCCGCGAGCAGCAGCAGCCGCCGCCCGCCUCCACCACCCACGAUAUCACCCCCAGCUCCGAGCCCUCUGACGAGUUACAAAUUCAAUUCAAAUAAA